CCGCCCCUUGCUUGGCCUGGCCGUGGCGGCCUUGCUCUGCAGGCAGUGCUUCCCUCGGGCGUGGGUCUGCAGGAGAGCCGGACAGGGCAGCGGCCGGCACUACCGCGCCGCGAUUUGCGCAGAGCUGAAGAAGACCCUGACCACUGAAGAGGUGGACCCCCGCCCCGUCGGGCUCACGAGCCUGGCAUGGGAGGGCAGGAUUGUGGUGGUGGGAUUUGCUGGAGGAAACAUUGCUUCUGUACCAGCCAACCGUCUGCUCCUGAAGAAUGUCUCUGCCAUGGGCCUGUACUGUGACUGA
rnacentral:lncRNA from 1 species